UCUUGUGUAGUUCUUUAGCAU
rnacentral:miRNA from 1 species